rnacentral:rRNA from 1 species
GGGUUGUGAGGUUAAGCGACUAAGCGUACACGGUGGAUGCCCUGGCAGUCAGAGGCGAUGAAGGGCGUGCUAAUCUGCGAUAAGCGCCGGUAAGGUGAUAUGAACCGUUAUAACCGGCGAUACCCGAAUGGGGAAACCCAGUGUGAUUCGUCACACUAUCAUUAACUGAAUCCAUAGGUUAAUGAGGCGAACCGGGGGAACUGAAACAUCUAAGUACCCCGAGGAAAAGAAAUCAACCGAGAUUCCCCCAGUAGCGGCGAGCGAACGGGGAGGAGCCCAGAGCCUGAAUCAGCAUGUGUGUUAGUGGAAGCGUCUGGAAAGGCGCGCGAUACAGGGUGACAGCCCCGUACACAAAAGCGCAUGUGCUGUGAGCUCGAUGAGUAGGGCGGGACACGUGGUAUCCUGUCUGAAUAUGGGGGGACCAUCCUCCAAGGCUAAAUACUCCUGACUGACCGAUAGUGAACCAGUACCGUGAGGGAAAGGCGAAAAGAACCCCGGCGAGGGGAGUGAAAAAGAACCUGAAACCGUGUACGUACAAGCAGUGGGAGCCCCACCACCAAAGCAUUCU